AUGUGCUUAAAAAUUCAGAAGGAUCCUUCAAGGGUCCUGGGUUCUAAUCGGUUUCAGCUGUUUGAACUUGUUUAUUUAAUGUCUGGGCAGUACAGACUGUUUGUUUUGUUCGAUGUUAAACAGUACAUACAUGUUUAUGUGUUAAUUGUCCCAGUUUUUCUCGCCCGUUUUUUCGACGCUCGUCUCCUUCCCCCGAUGGACUCCAACUUUGGUACCCAACAGGAUGAAGAGCAGAGGCAGGAAGUGGGCGACUUCACCGUAAGUCCACAGCGCUUAAGAACCAGUUCAAAGAAACUGUUUGCGGCUCUUUCUUUGGUCUCCUAUUCCGGUUAUGGAUUUCCAUAUUGCAUCCCUCAUCACAGCGUCCAGGGGGUUGGCUCAUCGAACCCCUCACCAAGCCACAGUGCUGGCCAUGCCACAUUCACCCUAGAGCAUUCUACGUCUGACAGAUCCACCCAAGAAGGUGUCCUGUGUAUAGCUGUCACCCGUUCCUCAUGUCUCUGAUGUUGUGUCUCACGCACUGCGCCUUACAGAAGGAGUAUGCAGUUAUGCAGACAUUUUUGCUAUAACAUAUAAGAGGUUGUCUCUAGUGAAGCAUGAUAAUAUAAAAAGUUUAUUUCAGUUCAUCCUUAUUGGAAGCAAGUAAUUGCAGUAAAAGUUUCACUUUUCAGUUUAUAUGUGACCCUGUGAGGUUCAGGGUCACAAGCACAGAGUGAAAAGUAAUACUGUAAUACAGAGGAAAAUGAACACUGAACACAUUGUGGUUUGACAUGUAUAGAAAGUCAGCUUUAUGAAAAAAAAAUACAUAUAUCUUUAAUUUUUUUUUUAAUACACAUACAUAUUUGUGUUUUUUUUUUUUUUUUCUUUCGCUGCAGCUUCAGUUACGGAGACUUCCCUGUCUUCCCUGAUGAAAGAACUUGACUUUGGUAUGUGAACAAACCUUAUAUAUCUAAGUACAUCUGAUGUCUGCAACUACAGAAGCUGUUGUUAGGUGGAUUUUAAAGAUUUUUUUUCUAAUUCUGUAAUCUGGUAUAAACUGCUUUAUUGUUGUUGAGUUUCUUUUUAUGCAAACACUGAAAUAUAGGCAUGCAUAUAUGGCUUAUUAAGUCUUAGAGAUAUUAUUUACUCUAUCAUGGUGACCAUUGAAAAGAGAAGAAAUCAUCUCAGUCUUUACCGGUUGAACACAAAUAAAUUAACACCACUAGGAAAACUGCA
rnacentral:lncRNA from 1 species